rnacentral:rRNA from 1 species
CCUACGGGUGGCAGCAGUGGGGAAUAUUGCACAAUGGGGGAAACCCUGAUGCAGCGACGCCGCGUGAGUGAAGAAGUAUUUCGGUAUGUAAAGCUCUAUCAGCAGGGAGGAAAAUGACGGUACCUGAUUAAGAAGCCCCGGCUAACUACGGGCCAGCAGCCGCGGGAAUACGUAGGGGGCAAGCGUUAUCCGGAUUUACUGGGUGUAAAGGGAGCGCAGACGGCAGAACAAGGCUGGCGUGAAAUGCCGGGGCUUAACCCCGGAACUGCUUUUGAUACUGUGCAGCUAGAGUGCAGGAGAGGGAAGUAGAAUUCCUAGUGUAGCGGUGAAAUGCGUAGAUAUGAGGAGGAACACCAGUGGCGAAGGCGGCUUACUGGACUGUAACUGACGCUGAGGCUCGAAAGCGUGGGGAGCAAACAGGAUUAGAUACCCGUGUAGUC